AGAGUUUGAUCCUGGCUCAGGACGAACGCUGGCGGCGUGCCUAAUACAUGCAAGUGGGACGCAAGGAAACACACUGUGCUUGCACACCGUGUUUUCUUGAGUCGCGAACGGGUGAGUAACGCGUAGGUAACCUGCCUAUUAGCGGGGGAUAACUAUUGGAAACGAUAGCUAAUACCGCAUAAUAUUAAUUAUUGCAUGAUAAUUGAUUGAAAGAUGCAAGCGCAUCACUAGUAGAUGGACCUGCGUUGUAUUAGCUAGUUGGUAAGGUAAGAGCUUACCAAGGCGACGAUACAUAGCCGACCUGAGAGGGUGAUCGGCCACACUGGGACUGAGACACGGCCCAGACUCCUACGGGAGGCAGCAGUAGGGAAUCUUCGGCAAUGGACGAAAGUCUGACCGAGCAACGCCGCGUGAGUGAAGAAGGUUUUCGGAUCGUAAAGCUCUGUUGUAAGUCAAGAACGUGUGUGAGAGUGGAAAGUUCACACAGUGACGGUAGCUUACCAGAAAGGGACGGCUAACUACGUGCCAGCAGCCGCGGUAAUACGUAGGUCCCGAGCGUUGUCCGGAUUUAUUGGGCGUAAAGGGAGCGCAGGCGGUCAGGAAAGUCUGGAGUAAAAGGCUAUGGCUCAACCAUAGUGUGCUCUGGAAACUGUCUGACUUGAGUGCAGAAGGGGAGAGUGGAAUUCCAUGUGUAGCGGUGAAAUGCGUAGAUAUAUGGAGGAACACCAGUGGCGAAAGCGGCUCUCUGGUCUGUCACUGACGCUGAGGCUCGAAAGCGUGGGUAGCGAACAGGAUUAGAUACCCUGGUAGUCCACGCCGUAAACGAUGAGUGCUAGGUGUUAGGCCCUUUCCGGGGCUUAGUGCCGGAGCUAACGCAAUAAGCACUCCGCCUGGGGAGUACGACCGCAAGGUUGAAACUCAAAGGAAUUGACG
rnacentral:rRNA from 1 species